UGCAAGUCGAGGGGCAGCAUCAUCAAAGCUUGCUUUGAUGGAUGGCGACCGGCGCACGGGUGAGUAACACGUAUCCAACCUGCCGACAACACUGGGAUAGCCUUUCGAAAGAAAGAUUAAUACCGGAUGGUAUAGUCUUCCCGCAUGGGAUGAUUAUUAAAGAAUUUCGGUUGUCGAUGGGGAUGCGUUCCAUUAGGCAGUUGGCGGGGUAACGGCCCACCAAACCUACGAUGGAUAGGGGUUCUGAGAGGAAGGUCCCCCACAUUGGAACUGAGACACGGUCCAAACUCCUACGGGAGGCAGCAGUGAGGAAUAUUGGUCAAUGGACGAGAGUCUGAACCAGCCAAGUAGCGUGAAGGAUGACUGCCCUAUGGGUUGUAAACUUCUUUUAUACGGGAAUAAAGUGAGCCACGUGUGGCUUUUUGUAUGUACCGUAUGAAUAAGGAUCGGCUAACUCCGUGCCAGCAGCCGCGGUAAUACGGAGGAUCCGAGCGUUAUCCGGAUUUAUUGGGUUUAAAGGGAGCGUAGGCGGGUUGUUAAGUCAGUUGUGAAAGUUUGCGGCUCAACCGUAAAAUUGCAGUUGAUACUGGCGACCUUGAGUGCAACAGAGGUAGGCGGAAUUCGUGGUGUAGCGGUGAAAUGCUUAGAUAUCACGAAGAACUCCGAUUGCGAAGGCAGCUUACUGGAUUGUAACUGACGCUG
rnacentral:rRNA from 1 species